UAGUCAUAUGCUUGUCUCAAAGAUUAAGCCAUGCAUGUCUAAGUAUAAGCUUUAAACGGCGAAACUGCGAAUGGCUCAUUAAAACAGUUAUAGUUUAUUUGGUGAUCGAUUACUAUUUGGAUAACCGUAGUAAUUCUAGAGCUAAUACAUGCGUCAAGGCCCGACUUCGGAAGGGCUGCGUUUAUUAGAUACAGAACCAACCUAGGCCCCGCCUAGUCCUUGUUGGUGAUUCAUAAUAACCCGGCGAAUCGCACGGCUUGUCCGGCGAUGGACCAUUCAAGUUUCUGACCUAUCAGCUAUGGACGGUAGGGUAUUGGCCUACCGUGGCGUUGACGGGUAACAGGGAAUUAGGGUUCGAUUCCGGAGAGGGAGCCUGAGAAACGGCUACCACAUCUAAGGAAGGCAGCAGGCGCGCAAAUUACCCAAUCCUGAUACAGGGAGGUAGUGACAAGAAAUAACAAUACAGGGCAAUUCUGUCUUGUAAUUGGAAUGAGUAGAUUUUAAAUCUCUUUACGAGUAUCAAUUGGAGGGCAAGUCUGGUGCCAGCAGCCGCGGUAAUUCCAGCUCCAAUAGCGUAUAUUAAAGUUGUUGCGGUUAAAAAGCUCGUAGUUGGAUUUCUGCCUUGGGCGACCGGUCCACCUUUCCUACGGGUUAGGUUGGUAUCAGGUUUGACCUUGGCUUUUUCUUGGGAUUCGUGCUCACGCACUUAACUGUGCGUUGACCGUGUUCCAAGACUUUUACUUUGAGGAAAUUAGAGUGUUUCAAGCAGGCUUAUGCCGUGAAUACAUUAGCAUGGAAUAAUAGGAUAUGACUUCGGUCAUAUUUUGUUGGUUUCUAGGACUGAAGUAAUGAUUAAUAGGGACAGUCGGGGGCAUUCGUAUUUAACUGUCAGAGGUGAAGUUCUUGGAUUUGUUAAAGACGAACUACUGCGAAAGCAUUUGCCAAGGAUGUUUUCAUUGAUCAAGAACGAAAGUUAGGGGAUCGAAGACGAUCAGAUACCGUCCUAGUCUUAACCAUAAACUAUGCCGACUAGGGAUUGGGGGUCGUUAAUUUUAGACGCCCUCAGCACCUCGUGAGAAAUCAAAGUCUUUGGGUUCCGGGGGGAGUAUGGU
rnacentral:rRNA from 1 species